AGCCUUGCCUCAUGGCAGAACAUACACUAAGCAGAAUAGCUAGUAGAUGAUGACAAAAGGGUCAUCCAGUCGAAUGUUAGGACAUAAAAAAAGCAGACAA
rnacentral:ncRNA from 1 species